rnacentral:rRNA from 1 species
UAGUCCAUGCCGUAAACGAUGGAUACUAGCUGUUCGGAUUUAUCUGAGUGGCUAAGCGAAAGUGAUAAGUAUCCCACCUGGGGAGUACGUUCGCAAGAAUGAAACUCAAAGGAAUUGACGGGGGCCCGCACAAGCGGUGGAGCAUGUGGUUUAAUUCGAUGAUACGCGAGGAACCUUACCAGGGCUUAAAUGUAGGAUGCAUUAGGUAGAGAUACUUAUUUCUUCGGACUUCUUACAAGGUGCUGCAUGGUUGUCGUCAGCUCGUGCCGUGAGGUGUCAGGUUAAGUCCUAUAACGAGCGCAACCCCUGUUGUUAGUUACCAGCGAGUAAUGUCGGGAACUCUAACAAGACUGCCGGCGCAAACCGUGAGGAAGGUGGGGAUGACGUCAAAUCAUCACGGCCCUUACGUCCUGGGCUACACACGUGCUACAAUGGUAGGGACAGAGAGCAGCCACUUCGCGAGAAGGAGCGAAUCUAUAAACCCUAUCACAGUUCGGA